UACGUAGGGGGCGAGCGUUGUCCGGAUUUAUUGGGCGUAAAGAGCGUGUAGGCGGCCAGGUAGGUCUGCUGUGAAAACUCGAGGCUCAACCUCGAGACGUCGGCGGAAACCAUCUGGCUAGAGUCCGGAAGAGGAGAGUGGAAUUCCUGGUGUAGCGGUGAAAUGCGCAGAUAUCAGGAGGAACACCGAUGGCGAAGGCAGGUCUCUGGGCCGAUACUGACGCUGAGGAGCGAAAGCGUGGGGAGCGAACAGG
rnacentral:rRNA from 1 species